GCAAACCACUGUGCCCUGAUUGGCUGUUCUGAGCUCCAUGAUAACUAUUUUACCUUCCAGCGCGUCAUUUUUUCCUCUUGAUCUCUGACUUCACCAGCCCUGCACUAGGAGAGUCCAUGGUGCUCAGUCACCAUCAUGCUGGAGCCACAGAAGGACCCGUCAAUGCGAAUACUUGAAGCAUAAGGGGUUCAGCUGAUCUCUGACCAGUCUGUGAAGGGGUGUUGAGAACGCGGAGGGGUUCAGAGAAGAGCCUCAGGAAUGAUGACAGGAUUCGAAACCUGCCCUACAGUGACAGACUCCAGGAGCGCAACCUGUUCAGCUUAACAAAAGGAAAGUUAAGGGGAAGAGCAACGCUUUGAAGAAAGCUGUGAGCCCCGGUAACGCUAUCAAAGGGCGAGAGAGGAAAACAAGACGGUUUUGUUACAUGCUCCCCGUGAAAUGGUUAUUUCAGGGGAGUUUUGUGCUUCUUGCAACGAGUGCUGAAUUGCGCCAUCAUCAUCUGCUGCAGGAGGAAAAAUUAAAAUGAAACCGAUAAGAGGCCCAGCCGCUGCCUUCCGAC